UGCUGCUGUUCAAGGGAGUGGCUCCCCUGCUCCUCCUCCCUGUGAGACAAGGUUUUAUUACACCAAGGGGAAUAGCUUCUGAGUCAUUGAUGACUCCUAGAAGUAAGCAUAUAUAAUGUAUGGCUGGGAACAGACCUUUUAGAUACCUUUUACUUUCUUAUUCCUGACCUCCUGGCCAUACUUUAUGAUUUUAUUGUGUGCAUGGUGAUAGGCUUUUGCUUUGGCAAUGUUUGUUUUCUUCUCUGAUCUGGCAGUUUCCUUUAUGUGAGCUUGAGCAUGUUAAUGAUGGCAGGGCAGGACACGACCUCUGUGCUUGGGUCAUUCAUUGUGGUGGAUGCCAUAGUAGUGCCCUGCCUGGUGCCUGAAUGGUCGGCAAAGUACAAGGCUAGAAAAACCUCUCUUUCCCUGGCUUUGGGCAAUUCUGUCUUCGCAAAACCUUAAGCUAGGCAGUGAGGAGAAAACACCACCAGUACGAGCAACACAUUCAGUAGAGCCUGCCUUUCAACUGGGAAUGAAGGGAGAGAUGCCCUUACUUUGUCAGAAAGCCCUGAAGGGCCCUGAUAAAUCUUGCCACAGACAGCAGAUUUUGUAGAUAAAGGAGGAGUAUUUUCUUUGGUGCAAUAAAUCUGCAAGCAUAGAUCUAGAAACAGCUGUCUGAUAAUUUUUUGCAAGUUGUUAAGCCCUCUACAAUCUAAUCUCUGCAGAGAGCCUUGAAUCAAAAUAGAGGUUGGAAUCCCUGCAUUGAACAAAGCAGUGGUAUAAAAGAAUCCAGUUGGCUUUUGAGUGGAUAAUUGUUGCAGUGAGCUCAGUGACAUUGGAAGCGACUCUUGUCCAUUUGAAUUACUUAACACACCACCAUGAAAAGAAAUACCUGUGAUCUGCUUUCUCGGAGCAAAAGUGCUUCUGAGGAAACACUGCAUUCCAGUAAUGAAGAGGAAGACCCUUUCCGAGGAAUGGAACCCUAUCUUGUACGGAGACUUUCUUGCCGCAAUGUUCAGCUUCCCCCUCUUGCCUUCAGACAGUUGGAACAAGCAGACUUGAAAAGUGAAUCAGAGAACAUUCCCAGACCGACCAGCCUCCCUCUGAAGAUUCUACCACUGAUUGCUAUCACUUCUGCAGACUCCAGUGGGUGAGUGCCUCUGGGCAACAUUUUCCCGUUUUAUAUUUUGGAUGGUGAUUGUUAUCUUUGGUCUUUUGAGAUUUUGUGGCUCAUUGCCUGAUUUGAUUGGGAGGAAAAUGUCUCUACCUCUACAGGAGAAGCUGUUUUAGUCCAACGGUUUUACACAGAGCAGUUGAACAGGUAUUGGUGAAUGAGAAUAAACAUCUAAGAAAGGAGACUUGGACUUGGAAAAUUAAUAUUGGUCAUAUGUGAUUUAAUAAAAAAAAUUCUUAACACAUGAGAACUAAUUAACACAUUAAUACAUAGGCAUACAUAUCUGGAAACAGUAGGCCAUGUUCACUGAUGCAAAAUGAAUUUUGAAUCAAGAAUAGAUUGUCAUGUAAUAAGAAUCCAAGGAAAUAAGCAAUUAUAUUCAGGAGGCUAGUAAUUUGGCCUUUGACACAUCAAGGUGUUGCUUACCAGAAUACUGUUUCAGUUCCCAAAAGGAGGUGGUUUUAUAUAGUGUUAGUUAUGGAAGGAUCACGCACAGUCGCUGUCUCCAUCAUUCAAUAACUUUUGUAUUGCUGACUUUGCAGAAUAGUUGUGUUUUUGUUCUUUCUCUGCUCUUUAGCAAUGGAGGUUUUACUCUUUAAGAACAAUGUUGCCAGGUAAACAUUGAGAAAGAAAGUAUGGAUAAUGGGCACAUCCAUUCUUUGCUGUUUUGGUCAGCUGCAUUUUUAAGAAGAUUGAAUAGGAAAGAAAGGAAGAAGCCAGUGGCCCAUAUUUGGAAAGACUCUAGAGCAUUCGCUAAGAUUAUGAGAACAAAGCAAUUUGUUAGGUGACAAAUGUGAUUCUUCCCCAUUCUCCGCCAAAUUGAAGGCAUGUCUAGGAAAGGUGCUUCUGGAUUUGCCUAGAAGUUGUUAGAAAAGUUGUAAUUAGAAGAAAUUUUGCUAGUAACUGCCUUCUGUGAUACUGAGUUUAGUUUGAAUUGUUACAGACCAGUUCAAAGGACUUGUGUUAUUAAAAGGUAUGAAGAAAUUACUACUAGGUAAGUAAGAAUAUACCAAAUUCUUAAAGAAAUGGAAAGUGGAAAUAUGUGUCUAGUUGUCUUUGGUUUUUGUUUUUGAUGAAUCAUGUAUGUAAGGAAGAUUGUACACUUAUUGAUCAAACACACUGAAGCAGUUGGGAAUUUUAUAUGGCAGCUUGACCUGAACAUUGUUUGAAAAAUACUGUCUCAAAAAACUGAUUUCCCCUCUCUGGGAUCAAAGAUGAACUACUACUGUUCAUCUGUGUAUAGGGCAGGAUUCCCAGAUAUCAGGGAUUGAGUCAGGGGUCACCAAGACUUCCCCUAGAUUCCAUGAUUUGCUAGAUGAGCUCGCAGGACUCAGCCAAUAGUCCUAUUCAUGGCUGAGAUUUAUUACAGCCAAAGAACACAAAGCAAAAUCAGCAAAGAGAAAGGCACAUGGGGCAAAAUCUGGAGGAAAGCAGCCGGAAGCUUCCUAGAGUCUCCAAUUACAGUAGAGUCAGACAGGAUGCCCUUAAUUCCUCUAGAAGUGAGCUGUGACAACACCUGUGAAAUGUGUCACCGGAAAAGUCUUAUACCAGAAAAACCUCGGAAAGACUUGGUGCUUGUAUGAGGAAUGUGAAACGGUGCAACUCACAGAAAGAUAAGGGUGUUGGCAGGGGCUAAGGAUAGGGAAAUGGGAAAUUGCUAUUCAAUGGGUAUAUCAUUUCAAUUAUGCAAAAUGAAUCAGCUCUAGAGAUCUGUAUCAUUAUGCCUAUAAUGAACAACAUUGUGUUGUGCGCUUAAAAAUUGGUCAGGGGAGAUCUUAUGCUAAAUGUUCUUACCACAAUUUAAAAAAAAGCAAGGUAAAAACCCAGGAAAUAAAAAAUAGACUCAGUGCCCAGAAUUUUUACUGGGGGCUGGUCACUUAGGCACCCUCUAUCCAGCCUAUGCCUAAAUUUCAGAUUCCCAGAAGGAAAGCAGUUGUUCAGCACAAACCACUUUUUUUUUUCUCUUUUAGAACCAGGUUAGGCACAGUGAAUGUCUGUUACCAUUUAGGGAAUGGUGGGCAGUCUCCUGAAAUCCCAGUUUCUAGAUACCAGCCAAGGGCAAACUUUCAAACAGGCUUUUCUGAAGAUAAUAUCACAGGCCUGAUGUUAACUCUUUUCUGCACAGCAGGUUUAUCUUAGAAUCAUUAUCUUGUUUUGUCUACAUUUGAGUAAGAAGAGAAUAUAGUUAAAGUUUAAAUAAAUUUCAGCUGUGAUGCAUUCAUUUAACUUUGGUAUC